GUUUGAAUAGUUUAAUUAAAACAUUGGUUUGUGGCGCCAAAAUUAUAAAUUAUUUAUUUUAAACC
rnacentral:tRNA from 1 species